GAUGAACGCUAGCGGGAGGCUUAACACAUGCAAGUCGAGGGGCAGCACGAGGUAGCAAUACUUUGGUGGCGACCGGCGCACGGGUGAGUAACGCGUAUGCAACCUACCCUGUACUGGGGGAUAACCCGGAGAAAUUCGGACUAAUACCCCAUAAUGAUAUUUGGAGGCAUCUUUGAAUAUUUAAAGUUCCAACGGUACGGGCUGGGCAUGCGUAACAUUAGCUAGUUGGUAGGGUAACGGCCUACCAAGGCUACGAUGUUUAGGGGUCCUGAGAGGGUGGUGCCGCCCACUGGUACUGGGACAAGGACCAGACGCCUACGGGAGGCAGCAGUGAGGAAUAUUGGUCAAGGGGCGCAAGCCCGAACCAGCCAUCCCGCGUGAAGGAAGGAGGCGCUAUGGGUUGUAAACUUCUGUUGUACGGAACGAAAAGGUCUCUCUUAAUACGGGGGGCUCAUGACGGUACCGUAAGAAUAAGCACCGGCUAACUACGUGCCAGCCGCCGCGGUAA
rnacentral:rRNA from 1 species